UGGGAGCAUAACUCAGUGGUAGAGUGUGUGCCUUACAAGCACGAAGCCGGGAGUUCGAUACUCUCUGCUCCCAA
rnacentral:tRNA from 1 species